AAACUAACUGUCAGUUCGAGGGGCAGCGGGGGUGCAUGCUUGCCUGCACCUGCCGGCGACCGGCGCACGGGUGCCCAUACAAAUGGAACCUGCCCGCCACAGGGGGAUAACCCGGGCCACUCCCGGCCUAAUACCCCAUGCCGCCCGGACCGGGCAUCCGGUCCGGGCGAAAGGAGGAAUCCGGUGGCGGCUGGGCAUGCGGCGCAUUAGCUUGACGGCGGGGUAACGGCCCACCGUGGCGACGAUGCGUAGGGGUUCUGAGAGGAAGGCCCCCCACACUGGAACUGAGACACGGUCCAGACUCCUACGGGAGGCAGCAGUGAGGAAUAUUGGUCAAUGGGCGGAAGCCUGAACCAGCCAAGUCGCGUGAGGGAAUAAGGCCCUACGGGUCGUAAACCUCUUUUGCCGGGGAGCAAGGGCCGGGACGCGUCCCGGCCCGGAGAGUACCCGGAGAAAAAGCAUCGGCUAACUCCGUGCCAGCAGCCGCGGUAAUACGGAGGAUGCGAGCGUUAUCCGGAUUUAUUGGGUUUAAAGGGUGCGUAGGCGGGCUUUUAAGUCAGCGGUAAAAAUUCGGGGCUCAACCCCGUCCGGCCGUUGAAACUGGGGGCCUUGAGUGGGCGAGAAGAAGGCGGAAUGCGUGGUGUAGCGGUGAAAUGCAUAGAUAUCACGCAGAACCCCGAUUGCGAAGGCAGCCUUCCGGCGCCCUACUGACGCUGAGGCACGAAAGUGCGGGGAUCGAACAGGAUUACA
rnacentral:rRNA from 1 species